UGGCACCCGGACCGCUUCCCGCGGGCGCAAAGCCAGCGGCGCCCACCGAGCCAUCGCGCUCCAGGUCCAGGAGGAACCUCCGGCCGCCCGCGUAGACGAGAGAUGCGCCGGAUAGUGGGCCUUCCUCAAGGGACCCUGAGCUACAGGUGGUUUCCCCAGAUCCUUGCUAAGAGGAGGGGAGACUUUCUCUGCCAGCCAGUGGGAAGUUACAGUUGACAUUUAUCCUGGUGAUCACCUAAGGCCGCUUCCUCCGGGAACCAAAGAGGAGCUGAGAGCAGAGACCAAAGCGAUUGCCUGCGGUUAACAAGUCCACCGGUGGUCAGCCCUCCUGAAUCCUGAAAACUUGACUCCUUCAGUCGGUGCUCAGUCGACAGCACCCCUUAAAAUCUAUCCAGUUCCGCAAAUGUCUGUCGAGGGCUGGCUACCAAGUGCUGUGUGAAGUUCUCCGGAGACACGUAAGCAUGAAUAAGCCAUGAUUGACGUUCAGAGAGGCUCACGGUUCAGAGAGGGGCCAAUUGUACCAAGAGCUGCUUGGACUACGGGCUGGAAAAUGCAAAUAUGGCGGGAGAAAGGCAAGAGAGUAACUAACCCCUGCAGGUGCUCCGAGCUAUGUAUUUCCAGGACAGCUUCACUCCAUAGGACUUGUGUAUCCUUAAUCAUUUUGGCAACAUGAAAUGAGACUGCCUGAAUGACGAUUUGAUUCUACAUCGCAGGAAGAACCCUUCCUGUCAAUCACCAUCAACUCAACUGAGCCUCCCAAAGUGGCUGAAACACUGGAGUCCCAGCAAGAUUGCUACAUCUGGGGGGGUGGGGGUG